AAGAUGAGUUUACUGUUUUUACUGUUCAUCAAAGGGUAGAAAAGGCGAUUUUGCCCUUACUGUUCGUGGAGAAUAUCAAGCUGGUCUUCUAUAAACCGUGAAUGAAGACAACGCCUUGAUUUGGUAGUGGAUUCGGGAACCUUCGCAAAAACAAAGAAAAGAAUCACCGACUGAAAUAGAGAGUGAGAGAGAGAGAGAGAGAGAGAGAGAGAGAGAGAGAGAGAGUUCUGCUGUGGUUCUUCGUCUCGCUUAGAUUGAUAGUGAGGGAGGUUGUUGAUCGGCAUAGACAGGUCUCAAUUUUCGUUUGUUUCCAGCUUGGAGGCAUAAAAGAUUGUAUCGGAAUUGCAAAGCUCUGAUUUUUGGUGUGGGUGGAGGCUUUUAAUUAGUGUCCAUCGCUAGGGUGGAGUUUGCCAUUGGAGGCUUAAUCGUGGACACCAAGGUGUUCUAUUGGCCAAGAAAGGUCUUUUGCUAUGGAUUUCCAGUAUUUGUGUAGAUUUGGAUCCUUCUCAGCUUUGCUGAUUAAAAUUUUUCGGUGAAGGAUUGGAUUUAGUGUGCUUAGCUUUGCUGAUUGAAGAAGAUGAAUGGGAAAAUGAGCUCUUCUUCAGCUUCAGAAGCUAUACUUGAACCAUUGAAUCAACUUUUGUCAUCAGAGGUGAUCAACUUGCCUACCACUGUAAUCCAGAAAUGACGAUUUUACCCUCAUUUUAAUGUUUUUUUACCACUCUGCCAUUGACCUGGGUAUGCUAGAUUCUUCCAUCGGUUUCUUCUUCCAAAUGAUGAGGAGAGAGUAACUCCACCGCUCGGUCCAUUUAGAAUGCUGUUCAUAUGAAUUCGGAAGGUGCAGACUCUUCUUCUUUAUUUCUUCGAUGCUCUCCGGUAGCAUUUGAGAGAGUUCAGACCUAGAGAAUAGCUUGGAGAACAUCAAGUGCCAGUUUGCUUCCGGUUUCCGUUGGAGCUUGCUCCAGGGCCCACUCCUCAAGCGAUCCAAGACUGUACAAACAAAGACUCUAAGCAACAGAUUAGCCACUUUAUUUUCAGGGAGAGGAGACUAGAGUUGUUUGCAAACUGGAGAGCUAAGGGUGGUGUUUUCUUGAUUGGCUACUCCAUUUUCAAAAACUUAUCCCUUGGACCCUGUAAGUUAAUUUUUUGCUAAAUCCCUAUAUUAUGGGAUACGUAUUGAAGGGGUGGGGAUUUGGAGUGCAGACAAAGAGAAGAGGUUUCAUUGUUAAGAAUCGUAAGCAAUUGUUUCUUUGCUGGUUUGCAAGUUCACAAG